GACUUCAGGGCCAUCAUGGCCCUCUUGUUACACAUGCACUAUUUCAGAUCCAAAUAUGAACUUUGUGAUAUCAGUUUAAGAUUUUGUUUUAUAUCUGCUUUCAUUUGUAUUAAUAUAUUACUUGUUCCUUGUCAUGGAGAAUAUUCAUAUUCAGGUGAGCGAUUGUCCCUCAAUUCCAAUAUCUAGUAGAAAUUUAAAAAGGGACUAAUGCACCUAAAAUGUCAAAAUAAAAGAUGCUCCAUGCAUAGAGGAUUCCUCCAUUGCAAUAAAAUUGAUUUUCAAAUAAGGAAAUUUGAUUUGAUUUUUAUGAGAUAUAUUGCGACGUAGAAUGACUUGGGGACACAUACUGACUGAAAAUGCCAAUAUUACUGUAUACAAUAAACAUUUUUGAAAAUUACCGAGUUAAACAUAAUUAUUUGUAUUAUUAUUUAUGUUGUAGGAGAUAAACAGACUCAAGGAAGAAGAUUCUCCUCAACAAAAACAGUUAGAAUUUCAAAAGGCUAAAUCAGGUUGUCGUACUCAAUUGAUAGAACAUUAUCGCAGUGAUGUACUUAAAGUAUCAGCAAUACCUUUACAACCAGAUGAGGAAAAUUAUAACUUCAGUGAUGUUUAUAUAAGACCCACUAUAACAAGCAAGAUAGAAAAGAAUAGAGGGGAGUCUGAGGAAAAAGAAAUAAAGACCAUGUCAGAGAUUUUCACAAAGAACGGGGAUCCACAGAAAUUUAUUUAUGUUGUUGGAGAUGCAGGGUCUG